rnacentral:lncRNA from 1 species
GUACUGUAUUGGCUAGAUGGGAUGUACUGUACUGUACUGUACUGGCUAGAUGGGAGGUACUGUACUGUAUUGGCUAGAUGGGAGGUACUGUACUGUAUUGGCUAGAUGGGAGGUACUGUACUGUACUGGCUAGAUGGGAGGUACUGUACUGUACUGGCUAGAUGGGAGGUACUGUACUGUAUUGGCUAGAUGGGAGGUACUGUACUGGCUGGAUGGGAGGUACAGUACUGGCUAGAUGAGGUACAGUACUGGCUAGAUGGGAGGUACAGUACUGGCUUGGUGGGAGGUACAGUACUGGCUGGAUGGGAGGUACAGUACUGGCUAGAUGAGGUACAGUACUGGCUAGAAGGGAGGUACUGUAUUGGUGGGAGGUACAGUACUGGUUAGAAGGGAGGUACAGUACUGGCUAGAAUGGAGGUACAGUACUGGCUUGGUGGGAGGUACAGUAUUGUACUGGGUGGAUGGGAAUAUGUAAACCCAGCCAACAUAUCUGGGUUAGUAUUCUGUAUGUGAAAUUGAGACAUCCAGGCCCGCUAGCCAAAACUCAACGGUGUGUGACUGACAGCUACAUGAACAUUAACUAUGUUACUCUUAUAAUGACCAUUUGGGGGGAGGGGGGCUUAUGUUGGUCCUGGUACACACCUGUACAAGUCUGUAAUGGAAAUGUGUUUCUUACAUACUGAGACCCUGAGGGAGUGGGGUCGCGACCUUUUAUGGUGAUACCAUUCAGUAUUGGCUUCUGUACUCACAACCCUAUUUUCUAAACCAGACACAGUGAUGUGUGCAGUCUGGUUGAAUAUUGCUAUUCAGGCAUGUGAGCCAUCGUCACAACCCAGUCAAAAUGUUGCUUUUUCU